CGCUGAUAAGACCUUAUUCUAAUCACACGUCACCUGGCAUCGAUAUAGUCGUGCGCGGACUUUUUACGCAAUUUCUCACGCUCCAUCUGACGCAAUUGCUUCGGUCCUUCGGUCUUUCGGUCCUUCGAUCAACCACGUAUUCGCGCGCAUUUUGUCCUGACUGGUCUCGUCUUUCUUUCACUCUCUGUCUCUUUUUCUUCCUUCCUCUUUACCUCGUCCGUUUCGCGUGUAUGAAACUGACGCAGCUGGUGGCACCUUGAUGCAGCGGAUCGCGCGGCCCGAUCCAGGAAUUUUCCCGGAUCUUUGGAUCGGUCGAUCGAACACGUCAGCUCGCCCCUAACUCUCUCUUUGCUGCAUCGAACGCAUACGUAAUUACCUUGGCUCGCGCGAUUAUAUCCGCGCGAUCCCUCGAUAGUCACGUACGAUUUGUUCGUAUCACGCUGGAUACGUGCUCACUGCUCAGCCACGGGAUGUACCGCAGUAACUCAGCCACAUCCCGUGCUCCGAUGUACGAUUCGAUGCCGGCAAAGAUACCGCAAAAGAAUCGUGAUUCGUCGAUUUCCGUGCCGAUUUGCUUCUCGUGUUGGCAGCUUGGAACCGCGGCAACUGGCUUCCGCGGCGAUGGAUCGGCAAUCGAUUCCGUUCCUUGUAUCGUUUAGUCCGCUUCCGACGUUCGACUACUAACGUUGCUGGCGCUCGGUCGCGCGCGUAUGCUAUCAAUCGGCCACGUGUUUUCUCCUACUCGUGCCACAAACAACGUUCGAUCGUGGAUAAAACGUACAGUGUGUUUCUAACGAUUCGCUUCUUGCCAUUGCGUGUAAAUGUGACACUGUUAGACGUCACUGAGGAAGGCUGUUGCACUGGAUCUGCCGAAGGUCGAAUAUCGACACCGGACGCGGACAGCAGAAAUUAGGUGAACCGCUCGAGACAGACUUUUUGUUUUUCUCGCCGUGCUCGCGUAGAGAUCGUGUAAGUUGACGUGUAUAGAGAAAAAGAACUUGGUCCGCAGUCCGCAACAAGAAUUCCGAUGUUACGUAACGGAGAAAUAGAAUGAACGAGCGUUCAACGGGUGACGCUCUUUUUGUGAACUCGAUAAAUACCACGUGUCGGAUCGUUGACAUUGAGGAACAGAUUUUGUGUGAAGUUUAUGAUUAAGUUCGACCAGAGAGUACGAGUUCCUCGAAUAGGAAAGGCCGGAGAAUCGUUUAGUGAAAGCGAGAGCGGCGCUAAGUGUUUGUGAAAUCGUGAAACUGCGACACCACGUGUGUGACAUCUAUUACUUGACUUGUGAUAGGUGGAUCGUAAAAUUUACCGUUUUCUUUCUGCUAUGACUAGAACGACAAGAUUUCUCGACACACUGGUGCGGUUUUCAUAGAAAAUCUUGUGAUAUUGGCCGAUAUAGGGAGGGCAUUACGCUUCCUUUUCAAUGCAAUUUGUUGGAUUAAUGGCAAGUUGUACGUUCUAUAGAAAAUUGACAUCGGCAGGGAAUGUUAACACGGUGUAAGAAGAAGAGGAAGAAGAAGCAGGCAUCCAGGAAAAUUUAUUUCAAUGCGGAACACACGAACCAGUACUGCUUGUACGCACGGCUGACCUCGAUAGGGCUUUCGCUCGUGUCUAAGGAAGAAUGAAAAGGAAACGAAGGAGCCGAAGAAAACGAGAACUGGUGCGUGCCGUAGCUGAUCCUGCAGCAGUCGCGCGUUUGCGAAGCGCGGCGUGAAAAAAACCGAGAAAGAAAGAGGAGACCGAGUUUCCGUUAGCAAGACGAGGAGGGAAACUAAGAUCGGAUCGAAGGGAAAGAGACGGGACAAGGGUGGAAGAGACGUCGGAAGAAAGCGCGGUGGAAAGCAGAAGAAGGCAAAGGAAGACCGUGUAAAAUAUAAGGUAAGAGAAGCAAAUAGGCCGGAACGGGACGAGAGAGAAACGAUCGGAGCAGGAUCGGGAACCGACGACGAGCGCAGCGACAAGGAAGACGAGGUGGAGGAAUCGUGACACGGGCGCGUGUGCAACAGGCGAUUUCUGAGCGAUUUAUCUUGCCAGGUUUGCAGGUGUUCGCGUGCGUCCUUCGUGGCCUUGUUAACGGGCUUCCUCUUUCUCUAGCCCGCCCCGGAUAGGCUUUUAUCGUUCCUCUACCGGCGACCUUCCAAAGACACACCGUGCCGUGAAAUAAUAGCACGGUUCAAAAUAGACGGAAAUCAGAGGUCAGAUUCGAGAAGCGGGAAAGGAAGAGGAAUAGAGAGCGAAAGAGCGAUGUUGCUAAUCGCAAGAGGCGAGUGACGUCUCCGUGGAAUUCCAGGGAAUCGGAGGAAAGCGCGGUGACGUACGAACUGGUGCGAAAGAGGAAGGAUCGGAGAAAGAACGAGGGAAGAAAGGGUGAGGAGGAGGAGGAGGAGGAGGAGGUGGAGGAGGUGGUGGAGGAAGAAGAAGAGGAGG